GCCUACGGGCGGUCUUAGAGGGGCUUGGAGACGUUCCAAAAUUUCAAGACUCAUAUAGAGAAUUCUGGUACGUAACUGCUCCCUGGCAAUCAAUCGUGUGAAUCCCAAUCGUCUCUGCGUUUCCUUGUUCCAGAAACCAGAGGCCGGACCACCCAAGCAGCACAACAGUGUAUGUUGCUGCUUUAUUUUAAUGAAAUUCUUUCCGGGGGUUCACUCUUUUCUAAGAUGGCAUCAAUGUUAGAGGACUAAGCUGAUUUCACCGUUCUUAGUUGGUUGUGGUGGUGUUAGGUGGUGGUUGUGAAAGUGCCGAAGCAUGUGGAGACUUUGAUUGCCAAUGAGAAGGUCGCUGAAGAAGAUCUUAAGUUGUUUGAUGCUGAUUUUGUCAAAGUUGAUCAGAGUGUACCGCUCGUUGGACUAAACUGAAGUGGAGAUGGGGCAUUUGGAAGGUAGGAAGGCGGAUUCAUGGAUAACAGAUGGUGCAUUUUCAAGCUAGGAAUGGAGGAUUCGUGGAUAGUAGAUGGUGCAUUUUAGCAUUCCGGUCUCAAUCAGGAAGCAACCAUGAGUGAGAAGGAUCUGCAGUAGCGUGCUGAGAUCAAGAGACUGUUGAAAGAGGCAACUGCACUAUACAAUGAUACUUCAUAGUUCAUACAUAUACAUGUAGGUUAGGUAAACGAGUCCAAGUAAGCAGGGGAGUAGGUUAGUAGGUACCCGGGGGUGCACCCGCCCCUUCCAAUGUUUUGGUUAGAAGUGUAUAAUUUCCUAUUUUCCGUCCAAAAAUUUUUAAAAAUUAUAUAGGAUCGCCCCUCCAAUUAUUUUGCCGAAAUAUUUAUACAGUGUAUAAAUUAAAGUAAAGUUUGUUACCACUUUAAACCUUAAAUGUCAUCGGGCUC
rnacentral:lncRNA from 1 species